GUAGGGAAUAUUGGACAAUGGGGGCAACCCUGAUCCAGCGACGCCGCGUGAGUGAUGAAGGCCUUCGGGUCGUAAAGCUCUGUUGCAGGGGAAGAACACAAUGACGGUACCCUGCUAGAAAGGAUCGGCUAACUUCGUGCCAGCAGCCGCGGUAAGACGAGGGAUCCUAGCGUUGUUCGGAAUUAUUGGGCGUAAAGCGGGUGCAGGUGGCUUGGUAAGUCAGAUGUGAAAGCCUGGGGCUUAACCCCAGAAGUGCAUUUGAUACUGCUGAGCUUGAGUGCUGGAGAGGCUAUUAGAAUUCCUGGUGUAGUGGUGAAAUACGUAGAUAUCAGGAGGAAUACCGGAGGCGAAGGCGGAUAGCUGGCCAGACACUGACACUGAGAGACGAAAGCGAGGGGAGCAAAAGGGAUUAGAAACCCGAGUAGUCC
rnacentral:rRNA from 1 species